GUACUCGAGCGGCGACGGGUGAGUAACACGUGAGCAACCUGCCCCCGACUCUGGGAUAAGCCCGGGAAACUGGGUCUAAUACCGGAUGUGACCAUCUGCGGCAUCGCAUGGUGGUGGAAAGUUUUUCGGUUGGGGAUGGGCUCGCGGCCUAUCAGCUUGUUGGUGGGGUAAUGGCCUACCAAGGCGACGACGGGUAACCGGCCUGAGAGGGCGACCGGUCACACUGGGACUGAGACACGGCCCAGACUCCUACGGGAGGCAGCAGUGGGGAAUAUUGCGCAAUGGGCGGAAGCCUGACGCAGCGACGCCGCGUGGGGGAUGACGGCCUUCGGGUUGUAAACCUCUUUCAGCAGGGACGAAGCUAACGUGACGGUACCUGCAGAAGAAGCGCCGGCUAACUACGUGCCAGCAGCCGCGGUAAUACGUAGGGCGCAAGCGUUGUCCGGAAUUAUUGGGCGUAAAGAGCUCGUAGGCGGUUUGUCGCGUCUGUCGUGAAAGCCCACAGCUUAACUGUGGGUCUGCGGUGGAUACGGGCAGACUAGAGGCAGGUAGGGGAGAAUGGAAUUCCCGGUGUAGCGGUGAAAUGCGCAGAUAUCGGGAGGAACACCGGUGGCGAAGGCGGUUCUCUGGGCCUGUACUGACGCUGAGGAGCGAAAGCGUGGGGAGCGAACAGGAUUAGAUACCCUGGUAGUCCACGCCGUAAACGGUGGGCGCUAGGUGUGGGGUCCUUCCACGGAUUCCGCGCCGUAGCUAACGCAUUAAGCGCCCCGCCUGGGGGAGUACGGCGCAAGGCUAAAACUCAAGGAUUGACGGGGGCCCGCACAGCGGCGGAGCAUGUGCUCUCGACGCA
rnacentral:rRNA from 1 species